CCUACGGGAGGCAGCAGUAGGGAAUAUUGGACAAUGGGGGAAACCCUGAUCCAGCGACGCCGCGUGAGUGAAGAAGUAUUUCGGUACGUAAAGCUCUAUCAGCAGGAAAGAAAAUGACGGUAACUGACUAAUAAGACCCGGAUAACUACGUGCCAGCAGCCGCGGUAAUACGUAGGGGGCAAGCGGUAUCCGGUUUUACUGGGGGUAAAGGGAGCGUAGACGGCAGCGCAAGGCUGGAGUGAACAGCCUGGGCCCAAACCCGGAACUGCUCUGGAAACUGUGAAGCUGGAGUGCAGGAGAGGUAAGCGGAAUUCCAGGUGUAGCGGUGAAAUGCGUAGAUAUAAGGAGGAACACCAGAGGCGAAGGCGGCUUACUGGAUUGUAACUGACGUUGAGGCUCGAAGGCGUGGGGAGCAAACAGGAUUAGAUACCCCAGUAGUC
rnacentral:rRNA from 1 species